UACGUAGGGGGCAAGCGUUAUCCGGAUUUAUUGGGCGUAAAGAGCGUGUAGGCGGCCAGGUAGGUCAGCUGUGAAAACUCGAGGCUCAACCUCGAGAUGUCGGCGGAAACCAUCUGGCUAGAGUCCGGAAGAGGAGAGUGGAAUUCCUGGUGUAGCGGUGAAAUGCGCAGAUAUCAGGAAGAACACCCGUGGCGAAGGCGGCUCUCUGGGACGGUACUGACGCUGAGACGCGAAAGCGUGGGGAGCGAACAGG
rnacentral:rRNA from 1 species